rnacentral:tRNA from 1 species
UCCCUGGUGGUCCAAUGUUAGGACUACGAGCUUCCACUGCUGGAGAGCCCGGGGUUCAAUUCCUGGUCAGGGAA